ensembl:misc_RNA 7SK 7SK RNA
GGAUAUGAGGGCAAUCUGUCACCCAUUGAUGGCCAGGGGGGAUUCGGCUACUCUGGUGUCACCGUUCCCACCCACUCCACCUGCAUCCCCUGAAGCUGCACUCCAUGAAGAGACACUCUGGCCCCAUAGAUAUAGGAGGACUGUUCUUGGUAAAGAGCAUAGGAGUAGCUGCCUUCAUGCUAGAGCCUCAACACUCGUUCUCAAGAUCCAUUUGUUGGAGAAUGUAGGGCAGUUCCAACACUCCAGACAUAUCCACCUGAGGAGUUGCACUUGGCAGUCUGCCUUUAAAAU